GUGAGUAGUUCAGAGUUUGAUCCUGGCUCAGGAUGAACGCUGGCGGCGUGCUUAACACAUUCAAGUCGAACGAAGUAGCAAUACUUAGUGGCGGACGGGUGAGUAACGCGUGAGCAACCUGCCUUUGUGAGGGGGAUAACGUUUGGAAACGAACGCUAAUACCGCAUAAUGCAUAGAUAUCACAUGGUAUUUAUGCCAAAGAUUUAUCGCACAAAGAUGGGCUCGCGUCUAAUUAGAUAGUUGGUGGGGUAACGGCCUACCAAGUCGACGAUUAGUAGCCGGACUGAGAGGUUGAACGGCCACAUUGGAACUGAGAUACGGUCCAG
rnacentral:rRNA from 1 species